CUGCAAAUACAUCAGCUGUUUCAGUUUUAUUGUUUAUUCAAAUCCAUCUGAUAGCACAGCGGGGGCAGCAGUUUUAUGUCUAUCUUGAAUACAGUUUCGACAUAGAUAUUUUCAGCCAGUUAUUUGGCAUUUAUUGAUCAUUUUUUAUUCACCAUAUCAUAAAAAGACAUCUGAACUCUGCAGGGAGAUACCUUUGAAGAGUGAUCAAUAUCUUAGAAUGAGUUUAGAGCAUAAUUCUGCAAAGUGUGAUGCCAAUUUUCAACCUAACCACACACCCUCCAUCAUUUCUACAACUUAUCUUUAAACGGCGCUUGUUUGAUGUCACUGUCCUCUUUUCUCUUCCUCUCCUGGAACAGAAGGUGUAAAGGCAAAGAGGGAUUACAGAUUCAGCAGCUUUACUGUUCCAAAAUUUUGUGCCCUGCUUUUCAGGAGGCGUGUUUGCCGUGGCUCUUAGUAGGUCCGACAUUGAAAUGUCAAAGCCAUUAUCUCAAAUUACAAGGGCUGAGGAUGCGUUUAGGGGCUGUUAAACCAUGCAACACUCCCUACUAUGCAGACAAUCCUUUGUAUGAAGCUGCCAAAAACUGCCUUCUCCCUUUACUUAGUUCUUUCCCUGAAACCCACACGGUUGUUUAAUAUCAGGAAGUUUGCAUUAGGCUUGAAGAUACCGAGCAGGACCUUGCACACGGUCCAGAAUGUGGGGAAAUCCAAUUUUUCAAACCCAUAUCAUACAUCUGAGGAGAGCUAUUUUACAGUUCCAGGGGAAAGUUAAUCGUAAUAGGAUAAGUGUGGAGCAUAAGUCUCCUACAGGAUCAAUGACUCGUCCUUUCUCCUGUACUGUGAUUGGCUACUUGUUUUCUGUAAUUUGCUUGGAAAACCAACUGACCAAUCAAACAUUAUUCCAACUGAAUGUCAAUAUUGACUUUUAUAACAUUUGAAACCAUCAACAUCUCCUCCAUUUAACAAAGCAACUUUGAUACAUAAACUGCAAAGUGCACGUUGUUGACAUUUUGGAGUGAGUCCAGUUUGGUUAGAUUUUGGGCCUAAAAACAAAUAGAGUCUAAAAGCCAAGCGCAGCACACCAUUACCAACCAAAGCACAGGAGAGCGUGAUGUGGUCAAGAUGUUCAAAAAAGACUCUCUGUAAACAUGUAGCUUAAGCAACCAGCUGAUAAUUUAGUCUUUGUGUAAACACCAAAACUAUCCAUAUCUUUAAAAAUGAUUGUCAGGCAUCUACAAAAUAGUAGAAGGUUUGUAGACCAAGGCAAGAAGCCAAGAAAUAUAAAAUAACAGUCACCUGAGCUUAGAUGGAACUAGGAGCAAGCUAACUGUUACUGUUUAGUUUAAUAGGCAGAGUUGUGUAGUAACAAGAUUCACUUACUCUGUUACAUUUACUUGAGUAGUUUUUUUUUUUUUAUAAAUUGUACUUUUAUUAGUAACUUUAAUGCACAAUACUUUUUACUUUCACUUGAGUAUUUUUGUGAAGAUGAAACACAACUCUUCUUCGCUACAUUGCACUUGUCUGCUCGUUACUUCUUCCUCUGUCCAAAUAAUUCGGCCUUUUUUUUAUUUCGCAACAGACACUUCCGCAAAAUAUUAUACCACAUGUCUCUACAUUACCAAUCACAGGUAGUCAUUUAGUCACAUGACAGGAAAAUAUCGAAGUGACCAGGCGCGUAGCUGUGGCGCGUCCAGACGCUGAUUGGAGAAUCCACGAAAAAUGGCAAAGGCUACGCCGUUGUGCGCCACAACGGUGUGCGCUGCUGACGAGGAGGAGGAGGAGGAAGAGGAGGAUGAACACCCGUGGCCUCACAUAGGAAGCAUAUUUAGCCUAAACGCAAGAGAACUGCUACGCUAUGCGGUGUCUUCUCUGUCUGCCGGAGCAAACCAACAUCGCUGCGUACGAGAACUCCACGUCCAACGUAAGGAAACACGUCGCGGUAAGUUUGACCUCCAUUACUAAUGGCUGUGGAAUCAGGCAGGUUAGCCUAGUUAUCUCUGCAAGUUCUUAGUCCUGAAAAUAAUUGUUUGUUUGGUUAUUGUCUGUCAAUAUUUUAGAGUUGUCUGACACUUCAGGUAGGCUACCUGUGGGGUCUUAAAAACAUUAGGGGAGAGUGGGGUAAGGAGCCAUUUUUUGCUUUUGUUGUCACUGAGGCAAGGAAAAAUGCAACAGAGGUCAAUUGAAAUUAAAGAUACUUGCUAUUGUCCGUCUGAUUGAAUUCAUGCACACAAGACAAAUAAAUCAGAUUAGUUAUUCAGUACUUGAUUAGUUUUUUACUCUUACUCAAGUAAUUUUUUAGAUUACUACUUUUUACUUCUACUUGAGUCAUAUAUUUUUUAAAGAAACAUUACUCUUAUUUGAGUACACAUUUUGACUACUCUACCCACCUCUGUAGGUGCUAGAAAGUGGUAAUGUACACAAACUACUAGAAGGGAUAUUCCGGCGUAAAAUUAAUUUCGGGUCAAACACACUUUAACACUGAGUUAGAUACCCCAUCGAUUUCUUUAUCAUUUCCUUGAAGUAAUAAUCACCAUAUUUAUCAUUUUGCACUGCAGACACGGUAGUUCUUCUGCCUUAGCAUCUCGGUCUGAUUGCAAAAUGAUCAUAAAUGUUCUUCCUUGAGCUGUGUCACCCCGCAUCAGUCCGUAAAGGACUGGCCUGAGGUCUCACUACAAACAAGUGGCUGCUGGAAGAGAGUAGGUGAGUCGUGUUUCGUCUCUUUGCGAAAGAAAUUAGGCAAAGCAAAAAAGAUGUUUGGUGGCUAGUGCUAUGGAUGGGACCCUAUAUGUACUGUUGAUGAAGUUAGGUGCUGUUCUGAGCUUUAUUUCUGGCUAUAGAGUGGUGUUUUGGUUGAGAUUUGUGUUUGGCUCCUCAGACCGCUGUGUAUUGCUAUCCUACGGUCGUUACUAAAGCAAGCGGUCUGCAACAUUCACAUUUCGAGGGAGUGUCUAAUUCAGUGUUUCGGUGUGUUUGACCCUAAAUUAAUUUUACACCGGAAUAUCCCUUUUAAGAGAAUGGAUGUACUCGACAUAAAUAAGGUUUUAACACACACAACAACAACAUAUAUACAUCCCAGCAUAGUUCUCAGUCAACUUAAUUUAACUCUAGGUAAGGGGACAAACUUGGGGCCAAACUGUUACACUAGAAUUGUUUUCUACCCUUUCCAGCAGGUCUUUUUUCAGUUUUGAUCUCUUAAACAUCCACUGUCCAGAUAAGAGUAUGGGCUAAAACAUAAAGAUUUUUAAAUUCAAGGCAGAGAUGCAGAGAUUAUUUAUGGUACAAUGAUCAAAGUGUCUCUGGGCAGGGAUUUAUGAGCUUAUGCUGGGGGUUGGGGAUGCUUGAGGCCUUGUAGCCUUAGUUAUUACAGAUAUGUAUUCUUGUGCAGUAAAGGUCAAGAUUUUAAUAGGAUAAAGGAAUUAAGUUUAUCUUGUGGUGUAUUUUGUGGGCUGGCAUCUUGGUUACCUUGUCCUGUUGCCAUCUUUGUCUGAUAAAAAGCCCUUUACUUUCUUAUCUGGAUGCCAGAAAACACAUUUAAUCACAGAGUAUAACUGGGAACUGGUCCUUUUUUGACUGUUACAUCAAUAUGGAUUGCUAAUUCAAGCUCAUCCUUAAUCAAACUGACAUGCUCUGGAUAUUGCCUCUUGUAAUCAGCCAAAUAUACUUAGUAUGAGCCAGAUGAUGCCGAUACGCUUGAUUCAAUUAAAAGUGUAAAUAGGAGGCUAACAAGACUGUCAGCACUGUGAGAUCGGAGGUUUGGUAAUUAGCUUUGUUGUCACAGUUGGGUUGAGAUGGGACAGGGCUAGGCUGAGCUAGGCUAGUGAAACAGAUGACUCUCCUAUUCUGAUUUCACUACCAGGAGCCCAGAUAUCUUAGAAGUGAGGCAAAGCAUGCCUCUGCUGCUCAAGGGAAAUAUCUUUUUAUGCCACCUGGGACACGGAUGGCUGAGAGUUUUCUAAAGCAAUAACAUUUUAAAAGCUUUGAAGUAAUGUUGAGGAGAGUUCUGUGUGCACAGCUCUUUUUUAGUGUUGUUUGCUGAGGAGCCUUGCUUUUAUUUUGUAUGCAAGUCAUUUACUCACAUUUUCACAUUACUUUGCAACCUCGCAACAAAUAUUUCUUCAGAUAAAUCUUGCAAAUACACAAAUACACAAGACACAAUGACUUUUUGGAUACAGUCUCUGAGUUUCAUCCAUUUAGACAAAACAGGAUAAACCCAGUUACCAUUCAGCCUUUUUUAAACUCUUUCAGCCCUCAGGCUGCACCUAGUCUGAGUGUUUAGCCAACUGUCUGCUGGUGGUAGCAUUUGAUUUGCUGUACAUGGGAAUCAAGUGUGUAUUUUAAUGCAAUUCCUGUUAUUAUUAAUUAAAAUCUUAAUCCCUGGUCAGCCACAAAGGUUUUGCUGGUUCCUUCUUUUGCUGGGUUGGUGCUGAGCUGACUAUCGACAUGCUCCAGCUCCAUCAUGAAUAUACAGAGGUGUGUGCUCCAUAAACACUCUGAAAUGUAUUAAUUUUUAUCCUUAAAUGAUAAAGAAAAAGUCAUAUUUAGUCGACUAAACAACUAAAUGUUAUCACCUUAGGCACCAGAAUUACUUGCUGGUUGUUAUUUUCAUGAGGCUCCAGUUAACAACUACUGCCAUGCUGCUUUAACCCUCUGCUGCCCUGAUGUAAACAAAUUCAGGUAACAGAUUAGGGCUGGGGCGAUAGGUCGAUGUAAUUGACGUAGUCGACUACAAAAAUUAGUCGAAAAAUGCGUCAACGUGUCACAUGAUGACGCAGACAAUGGCUACAUCAGGUUACGGUGGAGGCAUGGAUGGCAAACAAGCUCCACUUAAUGGGGUCAAUUUAAAACCUACUUUAGCAUGAUCUAUAAGCAGCUCCUGUCAAUCAAUGCAUGUGUUCUUCCUGGCUUCCUCGUUCACAUUUCCAAGAUCACGUUGCUUUCAUUCAAGGAGACAUGCAGUGACCUGUCAAUCAUAUAACCCACCCCUUGUGCAGCAAACUGGACGCUGCAUCAUACACCCUGCAUCCCAUAUCUCAUCCAUUCACUUUAAGCAAUUAGCUCAGAGUUGAAGCAUCAGUUUUGUGCCUUUAUUUGUCCUAUAACUAAUUAAUCAGCUGUGUGAUCGCCGACAAUAGCUCGCUCAUGUUAGUACUCUGUACACGAGCUACGCUGCACAUAUGUAUACUGAUACACAGGAGUCUGAGAUAGAGCCACAUAAGAAAAAAAAAGAUUUUUUAAAGUGUAGCGGCUUAUAUUUAGCUGUGGUGAUGUGCCACGAUCGAUUGCAUGCAAAAGUUGUCGAGCACCAUAUCUUACUCAGCAAUGUAAACAAACACUGUUGCCAGCAUUAUGCCGACUACGACCCACAGUGCAUUGCGACAUAAUGUGGCACUGGCUUUCUUACUAUUAAAUGAAAGAUGGUAUGAAUGUUGUUUAUCGUUACUUGACAGUCAUUGUAACUAUAAAUAGGGUGAGCAUGCACCUGUUAAGGGAGGCUGAUAAGCAACAAUAAACUAUCAGGCUGGCGCACCCACAGGCUGGUUACCCGAAAAAUGGCACACUGCAGUUCACAGUAUGUCGCCCAGCACUAAGUGCAAGAUUUCGUCUGAGUUUUACUUACAGUUGACUUUAGAUAAGCUAAAAAGCAAUGUUAAGUGCUUUGUGAGUGUAAAAAAAACAUUGAAAAAAAUGCACUGUUUUUUGUUUUGUUUGAUUUCAAGAGAAUCUUGAAUAAAUAAUUAAAUUAAAUACUAACAGGACAAGUUUUUAAUUGCUAUUUUGGUCAAAGUCUUUGUUGUGUUAAUCAGUAUAAAAAAAUAAUCGUUAGAAUAAUCGAUGAAUUAGUCAAUAGAGUAGUUGACUCAUCGAGAAAAUAAUCAUUAGAUCUUUGGAAAAAAAAAAAAAUCUUAGGUGCAGCCUUUUAACAGAUAGCAUCUUGGUAUGGCUUACGUCAUCAUAAUUUAGAUUUCUAUUCAAACAACUAGAAGAUUGGUUACUUCAACGAUUCAGGGUAGGUUACCUCCCUGGUUGAACAAGUCUGUAUAUUCUGAUGUGGAUAGGUGGCUUGUGGUGGAGUGGAGUUGACAAGCUCCUUCUCUGUAAUAUUUUGAUGUCCUUAAGAAACCCCUCAUCGAGCUGAAUUCGAAGUCAGACAGGAAGCCAGCCCAGCUCUCUGCGCUGUCUCUCUAUGGACCCCCUUCCUGCCAUGAAAUCCUUCCUCUUACUAAUGCAGUGCUGAUGCAUGACUCACCUAAGCCUGCUCCUGCGAUCCUCAGUCUGCCUCUCUGCCUGUAAGUGGGUUAUGGAGCCACACUGGGGGUCUCUCCUCAACCAUGACAUAACAACGCACUCAGGCAGUGACGGGAGACAUACCUGUUUACUGCCUGUAACAAGCAGUCUGCCGGCUUUAAGUGUAGCUAAGACAGUGAGAAAAGUUGAGUUGAAGGGGGAUUAAGGGAAAGCUUCUCCACAUGAUGAUAGAUUUACAAGAGGUCUUUUGCUUGCCUGCAUGUUUAUCAGAGGCUCUGUUUACUUCUGCGCUUGAGGGCAACUGUUUGUCAGGUAUACCCUUCUAUGACUGUUUGGCCCGCAGUCUUUUCAUAUUCACUUCAUAUCCAGUCAGAGCAAUAGCUAUUCUGAAUUUAUACCAUGACCUUUCCCCAGAGGCGGAGAAAAUCCUGAAGGAGAUAUGGGUUGAAUUUGUACUUUGAAUAACAAAAGAAUCCGUUUGUGAAAAGAGCCAAAGCCAAAUCAGUACAAAAUCUGCACAAUAUGAGUUAAGACUUCAUUACUGCUGUACACACACUCAUCCCAACCUGCUGGUUUUAUACGUGUAUGAGCGCGUGCGUGUGCAAGUGUGUGUGUAUGUGUGUAACCCUCUUCAUUCCUUUUUCUUUGUGUGCGUGUGUGUGUAUGCAGAAGCCCCAGGGGGUCUCUCAGGAGCUCGUUUGAUGGCAGCCUCACAGCUGGCUCACACUGUUAGCCAACUGGGCUCAGAGAGAAGUGAGGAAAAAGAGAGGAAGAGAGGCAAAAAAUUUGAGGAAUGGGAAAGAGGGAUGACCCCGAUUAGCAGUGGCAAAAAAAUGAAAACAGCUUGAGCUUCCCCUUCAGUCUCCUCUACAGCCAAACAAGGUGAGGAAUGUGAGAAACUAGGAGCAGAAAAAGGAGAGAAAAUGUGGACAAAGAUGGAGAGAGACAUUUGAGCGAUUAAAAAAACACCUGUCCCUCUGCGUUCAAACAUACAAGCAUAAUCCGAGACUCUGACUUUUUCCCUGCACAUGCUGAACACAUGCAGACCACAUACAGUAUAUGCUGCAGGAAAAAUGCACAGUGUUUGUCCACACAGAUGGUAUCGCCAGGGUUUUACUGUGGGAUUUGAAGGCAGGCUGAAGCCCUCGCUCAGUUUAACUGCUGCAGUCAGAGCCUCAUGCUGUUGGGCAAUUGGGCAACGGCAUGGAAUAGCCUAAUUUAGAAGCAGAUGACUGGAUGUCCCUGAACAGAGGGAAAACAGAGACAUAGAGGCAGCAAGACAGUGCAGAGACCAUACUGAUUUUGUGUGCUUAGCUGUUAGCUUCAACAGAAAUAAAAACACUAAAGAGAGAAAGGAAAGAGGAGAAAACACCUGUGUAUGAUCUAUCUAUCCAUCCAUCUAUCUAUCUAUCUAUCUAUCUAUCUAUCUAUCUAUAUAGAUCUAUAUCUAUCUGUCUAUAUAGAUCUAUAUCUAUCUAUCUAUGUAUAUAUAUAGAUACUUAAAGAUAUAGAUAUAGACAUAGAUAUAGACGUAUAGAUAUUUGUAUUUAUAUAUAUAGAGCAAAAUUGCAAUCCCAUUGAGGAUGGCUGUCAUCUGUCGUUCAGUGCAGUGUGGGAACAUUCCAGACUCAUCUGCUUUGGCUGGAGUACAACUGCUUAGGGAGAGAGAUUCACUGAGAAACAGAGAGAGGAGGCUGAGAGAUGGAGGUUGAAAAAGGCGGAGCUGCAUGAGAGAAAAGCAGGCAGCGAGAAAAAGGAGAUCCAAGACAAAGAGACAGAAAGUUGUCAUAGUUUGUAGUUUUUUUAAGGGGCUGUCAGCUGAUGUUGAUGCAGUGUAACCUCUGUUGUUUCACUUCUUGUCGAGCUUGUAUUGAUAUAUCCUCCAUUCAGUCGGCUUCUGUGUUCAUGCAAAAAACGUCUAUGCAAACAUGACUAUUACACAUAUUAUAGAUGUUUUAUUCAAGUUAGAAUAACAUUGAUCAAUCGUGUCUUUAGUUACAGGAUCUUGAACUUUCCAUGACACUCAAUGUUGAAUUUUCGUUAUGGAAACAUGAAGAACAGAAAUUGGGGAGGUGAGGAAUGGCUGUCUCGCUGAUAGACAGAUCAGGAUAGAUCAGAAGAUUAACCCACAUUAGGUGAACUUAAGCAUUAAAAUAUAAAACUGGCUCUGUCCAAAGCAACAGUAGAACUUGUAUUCUUCUCAUACUUAUAAUUAUUGCAUUGUGAUUUUGCAUGGUUUAAACAAAUUACACACUGCAUGUUAAUCUGAUUUAUAAAUGCCCGGUCAGAGCUCUGACCUUCAGCCGCAGCCAAGCUAGCUGUUUCACUCAGUUUUAGUCUUCUCGCUGAGCUAAUGCUGCGGCAUUUCAACGCAGAUCCUUAAUUAGAGAGAAAAAAAAAAUGACUCGAGCCUUUAAAAUGUGAUUCCAAGACAAAGAACUGAGAUAGUUCUUGUUGUUUAUUGAAGAUUUACAAGGAAAAUGGAAGGGUCUAGACUCUGCGAGUAAAUCAGUUGCUGAACAAGCAAUAAUAGCUGAUAUAAAUUAGCCAAGUAAGCUAAACUUUGAAAAACUGCUACAAAACCUUAAUACAUUAAGAGUUGAGUUGCUUAUAACAAGUGGAUAUGAAAGGUCACCACUUUUGGAAACCAUCUUCACAAGCCGUUGACAGUAUUUUGAUGCUAUGUCUAUCUCCUGUUUUAAAAAGAUGAAGUUUAAGUCCCACCUCUGUGGGCGCUGACAAAUUGCACUGGUGCUGUUUUGGAGCCAAGGCAUGUCCUGAAGCAAUCUGGCUGAUGGAGCUGUGGGGUUGCUGUCAAACCCCUCCCACCAACAAAGCACACAUUUAACCUACUGUGAAAACAUCUGUGGUCAGUAUGGUCCACAGCAGAACUUAUUCUUGGAUUGGUUUUGUGAAGGUCAGUAACCCUUAUGUUAGUCAUUGUUAUAUUCAUCUCACUGUACCAUCUCCACUUCAGUGGUCUGGCAGAAAGAAAACUAAGGGAGCCACUGGUCAACAGAGCUGUCAAUCAUGAUGUUGCAUCUCCCCAUUUUUACCGAACUUCUACAGAAAGUUAAGACUUUCACACAAGAUCCCACGAUUACUGCAUAAAUCAGUAACAACGAUGACGGAAAGCAUAUUUGAAAACAAAUAAUUUGAUAGGCUAAUGCUUACCUUUACUAAUCCAACAAUUAUUUUAUUAUACUUGUUACUUUAAGUUCUUUAACCCCCUGUACGAUAAGAGGACACAGUAACAAGCCAAACAGCCUUUUCAAG